rnacentral:rRNA from 1 species
GACGAACGCUGGCGGCGUGCCUAAUACAUGCAAGUAGAACGCUGAAGCUUGGUGCUUGCACCGAGCGGAUGAGUUGCGAACGGGUGAGUAACGCGUAGGUAACCUGCCUGGUAGCGGGGGAUAACUAUUGGAAACGAUAGCUAAUACCGCAUAAGAGUAGAUGUUGCAUGACAUUUGCUUAAAAGGUGCAAUUGCAUCACUACCAGAUGGACCUGCGUUGUAUUAGCUAGUUGGUGAGGUAACGGCGCACCAAGGCAACGAUACAUAGCCGACCUGAGAGGGUGAGCGGCCACACUGGGACUGAGACACGGCCCAGACUCCUACGGGAGGGAGCAGUAGGGAAUCUUCGGCAAUGGACGGAAGUCUGACCGAGCAACGCCGCGGGAGUGAAGAAGGUUUUCGGAUCGUAAAGCUCGGUUGUAAGAGAAGAACGAGUGUGAGAGUGGAAAGUUCACACUGUGACGGUAUCUUACCAGAAAGGGACGGCUAACUACGUG